UACGUAGGGGGCAAGCGUUGUCCGGAAUCAUUGGGCGUAAAGAGCGUGUAGGCGGCUCGGUAAGUCCGUUCUGAAAGUCCAGGGCUCAACCCUGGGAUGCGGAUGGAUACUGUCGGGCUCGAGUCCGGAAGAGGCGAGUGGAAUUCCCGGUGUAGCGGUGAAAUGUGUAGAGAUCGGGAGGAACACCGGUGGCGAAGGCGGGUCUCUGGACCGAUACUGACGCUGAGGCGCGAAAGCGUGGGGAGCAAACAGG
rnacentral:rRNA from 1 species